rnacentral:rRNA from 1 species
GAUGAACGCUGGCGGCGUGCCUAACACAUGCAAGUCGAGCGAACCUUUCGGGGUGAGCGGCGGACGGGUGAGUAACGCGUGGGUAACCUGCCCUGUACACACGGAUAACAUACCGAAAGGUAUGCUAAUACGGGAUAACAUAUGAGAGUCGCAUGGCUUUCAUAUCAAAGCUCCGGCGGUACAGGAUGGACCCGCGUCUGAUUAGCUAGUUGGUAAGGUAACGGCUUACCAAGGCAACGAUCAGUAGCCGACCUGAGAGGGUGAUCGGCCACAUUGGGACUGGGACACGGUCCAAACUCCUACGGGAGGCAGCAGUGGGGAAUAUUGCACAAUGGGCGAAAGCCUGAUGCAGCAACGCCGCGUGAGCGAUGAAGGCCUUCGGGUCGUAAAGCUCUGUCCUCAAGGAAGAUAAUGACGGUACUUGAGGAGGAAGCCCCGGCUAACUACGUGCCAGCAGCCGCCGUAA